UGUAAUAGCAUACUCAAUAAAAUAUACUUAAAAAAUAAAAACGUAAAUUUAGUGUGUUGAUUAGGUAAAUGUGAAGUGCUGAAAAAUGAAACAGGGGAUAUUAUGGAGGAGCAAGGCCUGUGGAAGCCUAAAACUCCAAGCUCUCUCAAAUGCUUCCCCCACUCACUGCCCAUCAGUAGUUCAUAUAACUCAUUCACAAGGGAUACAGCUUCAGAAGGAUCAGCCUCUGCUGGUCCUUCUGUUUACCCACAGAAGUAAAGCUAGUGACAGAAAGACAUUAAGUUGAGACUAAACGAGGCACAGGGAGCUCAAAACUCAAGAACAGAAAUGGUAAGGCAAUGGACCAGAGUCAAAGAUCAUUAUGUGAUACAACUUUUGAUUCCAGUUACCAGAAAAUAAACUUUUCCACCACCAAGUCCAAAAAAUAGAUAUUGAUGCUAACAAAGGUGUUAAAGAAAUUACAUUGCCAGAAAAAUCCCUACCCUAACAAACAAAGGCUCAUGACUGUUCUACCCUAAGGCAAUCCCUGAUUCUAAAUUCUUGUUACCAAUAAGAAAAGAAACAUGAAGUCUCCUGAAAGAGAAUCUUCCUGAAGCCCUUCUCGGAGAUGGCCAUGAAGGACAUAUAAGAAGAGAAAUCUUAGCAGAUAAUCCUGGAGUAAGACAUCCACUGGUUACAGAACUCAGACCAAGGCUAAGGAAAAAACUCAAUAAAGAAAUGCUUAUGAUAUUCUAUGGUCAUAUCAUCAUUUGUACUAUCCUUACCCAAGGAAUAUUACUUAGAUAAGUACUGUAUAAGAUAAUUACUUAGAUAAGUACUAUCCUAUACUUCUUUCAUAAUUAUACAAUCAGAUAUGUUUUAAAGCAUAAGUUGCAGGACCAUAAUGAGCCAAAUGCAAACUUGUUCAAGGUAGAUUUCUGAAUCAUUUCAGGGGAAAAUAAAUUUCACCCAGAGUUUAUGGAACAAUGACUGCAUGAUACUCGUUCAAGAUGCAUCAUCUGGAUAGGACUUUGUCUCUCAUUAUGGAGAGGCAGAGGACAUACAUAUUUGUUCAAAGUAUAACUGGGUCUUGUUAAGUAGAAAGAUUUUGAAAUUACAUGUACGGGGACAAAAAGUAUCUGUGCAAACACACAUAUACACAAAUGUUUGCUGGUCAGCCAAGAAUUGACCCAUUGUAGACACCUGCUCUUGAUCCAUCCAACAUCACCCCCUUUAUUUUGGUAGCAGUAUAAAUAAUAAUGACAGCAGGACCUCAAUUUACUGACAUCAACCCUUUAAAAAUAAAGUACUUUUGGUUACCUACGUUUUGUACAGAGAGCUUGACAACACUGGGGAUUUGCUGACUUGGCUUUGUUAAAUAGAGAGUGCUCUAAAGGACAAGAUUCUGUCUUCUUAGAGUUCCAUCAACCUUAUCAGGUACAUACCUGCUGACAACGGGCCUUGAGAAAUGUUCAGCACCCAGUGGAUACCCAGUGAAAAUUAACUGAUGAUAAUGAAUUAUACAAGCUUUUAAGCUGUCAUUUGAUCCCAGUAUAUAAUUUUCCUGAAUAAAUUAAGCAAUAGUUUGGUAUUCAAUAUCGUUAUAAACUUAAUCCAUCACCUUCAUGAGUCUAGCAAAUUGCUGUAAAAGCAUAAUAUGAGGAUGAUGGAACUCUAGAAAUGAUUCAAAAAAUUCUGUUAUAACAAGAUAAUUAAAGAUUAAGUUACAGAUAGCAUAGUAUAUAGAGAGAAAUUCACAAAAAAUACUAGUUUAGUGACCUUUUUAAAAACAGCAGAAAAAAAAGUCAGUAGCAAAUUGUGUGUGUGUGUGUGUGUGUGUGUGUGUGUGUUUGUGUGUGUAUAACUUUUUCCUCCUCCCUAUAAAGAAAAGUUCAUCUAACUUAAUGUUUAAGUAAAACUGGAUCUCCCUGAGGUUAAAGCCCUGGAAAUACAGAUGAAAGCUCAGUUAGAAGAUAUGGAAUUAGGCAGAGGAAACUAUGAAUUGCUACCUGAACAUUUCAAAAGUAAAUUUAUUUCUGGUAGCUUAAUUUACUCAAAGUAAAUCAGAAGGUAAAUUUGUUGUUAUGAAUCCCCCAGAGCUUUCAGGUAUAGCUCACAACCCUCAGGGUUCAUUGGUGAGUAUCUGUUAAUAGAUUUCACUCUUCAAUAAAUUCUUUUAAUAUGUGGGUGUCACAAAGAAACCUGUGCUUUAGUCCUAAUAACAAUUUUCAUUACAGAUAAAGUUUCUCUGACAUAAUUUGAAACUUUAGCACUCUAAGCAAAGUUCUAAGAAUUGACUCUAAGA